UACAGAGGUCUCAAGCGUUGUUCGGAUUCAUUGGGCGUAAAGGGUGCGUAGGCGGCGGGAGAAGUCUGGUGUGAAAUCCCGGGGCUCAACCUCGGAACGGCACUGGAUACUCUCUUGCUAGAGAUCUGGAGAGGAAACUGGAAUUUACGGUGUAGCAGUGAAAUGCGUAGAGAUCGUAAGGAAGACCAGUGGCGAAGGCGAGUUUCUGGACAGAUUCUGACGCUGAGGCACGAAGGCCAGGGGAGCAAACGGG
rnacentral:rRNA from 1 species